GCGCCCGUAGCUCAGUGGUAGAGCACCAAUCUUAUAAGUUGGCCGUCGCAGGUUCGAUCCCUGCCGGGCGCA
rnacentral:tRNA from 1 species